CCUACGGGGAGCUGCAGUGGGGAAUAUUGGACAAUGGGCGAAAGCCUGAUCCAGCCAUGCCGCGUGUGUGAAGAAGGCCUUCGGGUUGUAAAGCACUUUCAGUGGGGAAGAAAGCCUUGGGGCUAAUACCCUCGAGGAAGGACAUCACCCACAGAAGAAGCACCGGCUAACUCCGUGCCAGCAGCCGCGGUAAUACGGAGGGUGCGAGCGUUAAUCGGAAUUACUGGGCGUAAAGCGCGCGUAGGCGGUCUGAUAAGCCGGUUGUGAAAGCCCCGGGCUCAACCUGGGAACGGCAUCCGGAACUGUCAGGCUAGAGUGCAGGAGAGGAAGGUAGAAUUCCCGGUGUAGCGGUGAAAUGCGUAGAGAUCGGGAGGAAUACCAGUGGCGAAGGCGGCCUCCUGGACUGACACUGACGCUGAGGUGCGAAAGCGUGGGUAGCAAACAGGAUUAGAUACCCCAGUAGUC
rnacentral:rRNA from 1 species